GAUGGAACGUAGCGAAAUGCGAUAAGUAAUGUGAAUUGCAGAAUUCAGUGAAUCAUCGAAUCUUUGAACGCACAUUGCGCCCCUUGGUAUUCCGAGGGGCAUGCCUGUUCGAGCGUCAUUAUAACCCCUCAAGCUCAGCUUGGUGUUGGGGCCUGCUGCACUGGCAGCCCUUAAAAUCAGUGGCGGCGCCAUCUGGCUCUAAGCGUAGUAAUUCUUCUCGCUAUGGAGUCCUGGUGGAUGCUUGCCAUCAACCCCCAAUUUUUCUAUGGUUGACCUCGGAUCAGGUAGGGAUACCCGCUGAACUUAAGCAUAUCAAUAAGCGGAGGA
rnacentral:misc_RNA from 1 species